AUGGCAACUAAAAAUCGUUAGGCUCGGGGAACGCCAUCAGGGCGCUAAGCACCCCCUGGCUUGGUUAGAACUCCUCUUGCCCACGCAAACUGGCAGGACCAGGACUUCGGUUCUUUCCAGAAAGUGCCUCUUGGCCUCUGAACGUCGGGAAUACUUCCUGACGCACAAGGACCGUGACCAGCUCCGUUCGCUUCCUUGCUCUGCAGGUGUGGCGGCGGUGGGUAUCCCGGCCGCCCUUGGCGUUCUGGGCUUCGGCAGCGCCGGAAUUGUGGCCGGGUCCAUCGGCGCAAAGAUGAUGUCGGCGGCGGCCAUCGCGAACGGCGGCGGAGUGGCUGCUGGGGGUGUGGUUGCCACCCUGCAGUCAAUCGGGGCUGCCGGGGUGCCAACCGCGGUCUCAGCAGCAGCAACGGCCGGAGGAGCGGUGCUGGGGGCCUUGAAGGACCUUUGCAGCUGAGAGGCCAAGGAAGCCCCUUCGGCUGUCAAAAUGCCUCCGAAGAGAGAUCUGCUUGAAGGCGAAACCGCUGGGUCUCCUUGCCUGAAUUCCUCCAGCUUGGCCGCCUUUCUUCUAGUCGUGCCUAACCACUCUGCUUGCUACGAUUAAAGUGCUGUAGGCCCUA